rnacentral:rRNA from 1 species
UUGGCUUAGAAGCAGCCAUACAUUUAAAGAGUGCGUAAUAGCUCACUAGUCGAGAAAACCUGCGCCGAAAAUGUAACGGGGCUAAAACACGACACCGAAGCUACGGAUUUCCUACAAGGUAGGAAGUGGUAGAGGAGCAUCCUGCAAGGACGAAGCCAAAGUGAGAGCGAUGGUGGACGAAACAGGAGAGAGAAUGCCGGAAUGAGUAGCGAGAUACAUGUGAGAAACAUGUAGGCCGAAUAUCUAAGGAUUCCUGGGUAAAGCUAAUCUUCCCAGGGUUAGUCGGGGCCUAAGGCGAGGACGAAAGUCGUAGUCGAUGGAUAACAGGUUGAUAUUCCUGUACUACACAUAAUCAGAACUGUGGGGACGCAGGAGGAUAGGGAAACCGGGGAAUGGAAAGACCCGGUCAAGCGUAAAGCUGUGGGAGAUAGGCAAAUCCGUCUCCUGUAAGUGAAACGUGAUGAGGACUGAAAAAAAGUAAGGAAGUUUCCGAAUCCACACUGCCGAGAAAAGCCGCUAUUGCGUUAUGUGUACCCGUACCGUAAACCGACACAGGUAGAUGAGGAGAAAAUCCACAGGCCGACGGGAGAAGUGUUGUUAAGGAACUCGGCAAAAUGACCCCGUAACUUCGGGAUAAGGGGAGCCUCGCAAGAGGCCGCAGAAAAGAGGCACAAGCAACUGUUUAGCAAAAACAUAGGUCUAUGCGAAACCGUAAGGUGAAGUAUAUGGGCUGACGCCUGCCCGGUGCUGGAAGGUUAAAAGGAGAGGUCAGCGCAAGCGAAGCUUUGAAUUCAAGCCCCAGUAAACGGCGGCCGUAACUAUAACGGUCCUAAGGUAGCGAAAUUCCUUGUCAGGUAAGUUCUGACCCGCACGAAAGGCGUAAUGAUUUGUGCACUGUCUCGACAACACGCCCGGUGAAAUUGAAGAACCAGUGAAGAUACUGGUUACCCGCAACAGGACGGAAAGACCCCAUGGAGCUUUACUGCAGCCUGAUACUGGGAUUCGAUGAUAUAUGUACAGGAUAGGUGGGAGGCUAAGAAGCGAGAACGCUAGUUUUCGUGGAGCCGCCGGUGGGAUACCACUCUUAUGUCAUUGAAUUUCUAACCUGCAUCCGUAAUCCGGGUGAGGGACAAUGUCAGGCGGGCAGUUUGACUGGGGCGGUCGCCUCCUAAAAGGUAACGGAGGCGCUCGAAGGUCACCUCAGAAUGAUUGGAAACCAUUCAAAGAGUGUAAAGGCAAAAGGUGGCUUGACUGCGAGAGCGACGGCUCGAGCAGGUACGAAAGUAGGACUUAGUGAUCCGGUGGUAAUAAGUGGGAAUGCCAUCGCUCAACGGAUAAAAGCUACCCUGGGGAUAACAGGCUU